GGGUUGUGAGGUUAAGCGACUAAGCGUACACGGUGGAUGCCCUGGCAGUCAGAGGCGAUGAAGGACGUGCUAAUCUGCGAAAAGCGCCGGCGAGGUGAUAUGAACCUUUGACCCGGCGAUGUCCGAAUGGGGAAACCCAGUGCAAUUCGUUGCACUAUCGUUAACUGAAUACAUAGGUUAACGAGGCGAACCGGGGGAACUGAAACAUCUAAGUACCCCGAGGAAAAGAAAUCAACCGAGAUUCCCCCAGUAGCGGCGAGCGAACGGGGAGCAGCCCAGAGUCUGAAUCAGCUUGUGUGUUAGUGGAAGCGUCUGGAAAGUCGCACGGUACAGGGUGACAGUCCCGUACACGAAAGCACACAGGUUGUGAACUCGAAGAGUAGGGCGGGACACGUGGUAUCCUGUCUGAAUAUGGGGGGACCAUCCUCCAAGGCUAAAUACUCCUGACUGACCGAUAGUGAACCAGUACCGUGAGGGAAAGGCGAAAAGAACCCCGGCGAGGGGAGUGAAAAAGAACCUGAAACCGUGUACGUACAAGCAGUGGGAGCACCUUCGUGGUGUGACUGCGUACCUUUUGUAUAAUGGGUCAGCGACUUAUAUUCUGUAGCAAGGUUAACCGUAUAGGGGAGCCGAAGGGAAACCGAGUCUUAACUGGGCGUUAAGUUGCAGGGUAUAGACCCGAAACCCGGUGAUCUAGCCAUGGGCAGGUUGAAGGUUGGGUAACACUAACUGGAGGACCGAACCGACUAAUGUUGAAAAAUUAGCGGAUGACUUGUGGCUGGGGGUGAAAGGCCAAUCAAACCGGGAGAUAGCUGGUUCUCCCCGAAAGCUAUUUAGGUAGCGCCUCGUGAACUCAUCUUCGGGGGUAGAGCACUGUUUCGGCUAGGGGGCCAUCCCGGCUUACCAACCCGAUGCAAACUACGAAUACCGAAGAAUGUUAUCACGGGAGACACACGGCGGGUGCUAACGUCCGUCGUGAAGAGGGAAACAACCCAGACCGCCAGCUAAGGUCCCAAAGUCAUGGUUAAGUGGGAAACGAUGUGGGAAGGCACAGACAGCCAGGAUGUUGGCUUAGAAGCAGCCAUCAUUUAAAGAAAGCGUAAUAGCUCACUGGUCGAGUCGGCCUGCGCGGAAGAUGUAACGGGGCUAAACCAUGCACCGAAGCUGCGGCAGCGACGCUUAUGCGUUGUUGGGUAGGGGAGCGUUCUGUAAGCCGUUGAAGGUGGCCUGUGAGGGUUGCUGGAGGUAUCAGAAGUGCGAAUGCUGACAUAAGUAACGAUAAAGCGGGUGAAAAGCCCGCUCGCCGGAAGACCAAGGGUUCCUGUCCAACGUUAAUCGGGGCAGGGUGAGUCGACCCCUAAGGCGAGGCCGAAAGGCGUAGUCGAUGGGAAACAGGUUAAUAUUCCUGUACUUGGUGUUACUGCGAAGGGGGGACGGAGAAGGCUAUGUUAGCCGGGCGACGGUUGUCCCGGUUUAAGCAUGUAGGCGGAGGUUCCAGGUAAAUCCGGUACCUUUU
rnacentral:rRNA from 1 species